GACGAACGCUGGCGGCGUGCCUAAUACAUGCAAGUCGAACGCACAGUUUAUACCGUAGCUUGCUACACCAUAAACUGUGAGUUGCGAACGGGUGAGUAACGCGUAGGUAACCUGCCUGGUAGCGGGGGAUAACUAUUGGAAACGAUAGCUAAUACCGCAUAAUAUUAAUUAUUGCAUGAUAAUUGAUUGAAAGAUGCAAUUGCAUCACUACCAGAUGGACCUGCGUUGUAUUAGCUAGUAGGUGAGGUAACGGCUCACCUAGGCGACGAUACAUAGCCGACCUGAGAGGGUGAUCGGCCACACUGGGACUGAGACACGGCCCAGACUCCUACGGGAGGCAGCAGUAGGGAAUCUUCGGCAAUGGACGAAAGUCUGACCGAGCAACGCCGCGUGAGUGAAGAAGGUUUUCGGAUCGUAAAGCUCUGUUGUAAGAGAAGAACGGGUGUGAGAGUGGAAAGUUCACACUGUGACGGUAUCUUACCAGAAAGGGACGGCUAACUACGUG
rnacentral:rRNA from 1 species